UACGAAGGGGGGCUAGCGUUGUUCGGAAUUACUGGGCGUAAAGCGUGCGCAGGCGGCUUCUCAAGUCAGGGGUGAAAGCCCAGAGCUCAACUCUGGAAUUGCCUUUGAGACUGAGUGGCUUGAGUACGAGAGAGGUGAGUGGAAUUCCCAGUGUAGAGGUGAAAUUCGUAGAUAUUGGGAAGAACACCGGUGGCGAAGGCGGCUCACUGGCUCGUAACGUCGACGCUCAUGCACGACAGCGUGGGGAUCAAACAGG
rnacentral:rRNA from 1 species